rnacentral:rRNA from 1 species
UCGUACGCUUAAGCGUAAGUCCUAGUGGCAUGCGUAACUUUAUGCGAUAGUCAAGCUCCAGGCCUUGGAACUUGGCAUUCGAUGACUGGUAAGUCCAAGGUCGGAUGAGGUCUAGUGGGAGGUGGCAGCUUCAACAGUACAUGCGUAAGGAUCAGGGAGGAGAUGCAACGCCGAUGCGAAUACAUGCCCUCCUGCGCUGACACUGACGCUCGAUACACGUAGAGGAGGCGGAGCAGCGAAUCAGGUACCAGUUGAUCGUCCUCGCUCCCUACAACGAUAAAGAGACUGUCAUGCUAGGUCGUCUAGCAAGGAUGAUCCAGUAUCGUAAGCGUAGCUAACGAAGUUAAGCUGCCUGCCGUAGUGAGUACGCUCGCAAGAAUAUCAACUCAAAUGAACUGACGCGCGCCCACACAAUCGAGUAUGUGAUGUGGUUUAGAUUGCGAUGCAAAGCGACAAUACCUUACCUACACAUGCAUGCCAGAAAUUAGACAGAGAGGAGGGAGUUCGGCAAGGAAUACACACACAGGGCAUGCAUGUCGUUAGUUAGUUUGUGUAGAGAGAUGGUGGAGUAACUCAACCAGCGCAACCAACCCCCUUCGUUAGUUGCAACUAAUAGUGGGGCAUUUAAGGAGGCCGCCCGGGGCCAACCCGAGGGAGGGGGGGGGGGAGUCAAGUUAUUCUUGCCCCUACGGCCAGGGGUUCCCCCCUUCUUCAAAUGUUGGGACAGAAGGGUGCAAGCCCCCGAGGGGGGAGCAAUUCUCGAAAACCCAUUUCUAUUCGGAAUGGCGUUUUCAAAUUGAAUCCAUGAAAUUGGAAUUGGUUGUAAUUGCAGAUCAACCAUGUCGCGGUGAAUACGUUCCCGGGCCUUGUACACACCGCCCGUCACACCAUGGGAGUUUGUUGCACCAGAAGCAGGUAGCUUAACCUUCGGGGGGGCGCUUGCCUCGGUGUGGCCGAUGACUGGGGUGAAGUCGUAACAAGGUAACCCUAGAGCGAA